rnacentral:rRNA from 1 species
UACGUAGGGUGCGAGCGUUUGUCCGGAAUUACUGGGCGUAAAGAGUUCGUAGGCGGUUUGUCGCGUCGUUCGUGAAAACUUGGGGCUUAACUCCAAGCGUGCGGGCGAUACGGGGCAGACUUGAGUACUACAGGGGGAGACUGGAAUUCCUGGUGUAGCGGUGAAAUGCGCAGAUAUCAGGAGGAACACCGGUGGCGAAGGCGGCUUCCUGGGGCCAUCCUGACACUGAGAAGCGAAAGCUAGGGGAGCGAACGGG